ACUGUCAUUAGGACAAAACGACAACCAACAGAUUAGGAAAAGAUCUUUACCAAUCCUACAUCUGAUAGAGGGCUAAUAUCCAAAAUAUAUGAAGAACUCAAGAAGUUAGACUCUAGAGAGUCAAAUAACCCCAUUAAAAUGGGGUACGGAGCUAAACAAAACAUUUUCAGCUGAGGAACUUCGAAUGGCCAAAAAGCACCUAAAGAAAUGUUCAACAUCCUCAGUCAUCAGGGAAAUACAAAUCAAAACAACCUUGAGAUUCCACCUCACACUAGUCAGAAUGGCUAAGUUAAAAAACUCAGGUGACAGCAGAUGGUGCUGAGGAUGUGGAGAAAGAGGAACACUCCUCUUUCUUGGUAGGACUGCAAACUGGUACAACCACUCUGGAAAUCAGUCUGGAGGUUCCUCAGAGCACUGGAUAUUCCACCACCUGAGGACACAGGUAAACCUCUCCUUGGCAUAUACCCUAAAAAUGGUCCAACAUACAACUGAGACACAUGCUCACUACGCUCAUAGCAACGUUAUUUUUAAUAGCAGAAGCUGGAAAGAACCCAGAUGCUCUUCAACAGAGAAGUGGACUAAAAAAUUUCAUAUAUCUACACAAUGGAGUACUACUCAGCUAUCAAAAACAAUGACUUCGUGAAAUUCACAGGCAAAUGGAUGGAACUAGAACAUACCAUCCUGAGGUUGGGGAUUUAGCUCAGUGGUAGAGAGCUUGCCUAGCAAGCGCAAGGCCCUGGGUUCAGUCCCCAGCUCCGAAAAAAA